rnacentral:rRNA from 1 species
AUUGAACGCUGGCGGCAGGCCUAACACAUGCAAGUCGAGCGGAUGAAGGGAGCUUGCUCCUGGAUUCAGCGGCGGACGGGUGAGUAAUGCCUAGGAAUCUGCCUGGUAGUGGGGGAUAACGUCCGGAAACGGGCGCUAAUACCGCAUACGUCCUGAGGGAGAAAGUGGGGGAUCUUCGGACCUCACGCUAUCAGAUGAGCCUAGGUCGGAUUAGCUAGUUGGUGGGGUAAAGGCCUACCAAGGCGACGAUCCGUAACUGGUCUGAGAGGAUGAUCAGUCACACUUGAAAUGAGACACGGUCCAGACUCCUACGGGAGGCAGCAGUGGGGAAUAUUGGACGAUGAGCGAAAGCCUGAUCCAGCCAUGCCGCGUGUGUGAAGAAGGUCUUCGGAUUGUAAAGCACUUUAAGUUGGGAGGAAGGGCAGUAAGUUAAUACCUUGCUGUGUUGACGUUACCAACAGAAUAAGCACCGGCUAACUUCGUG